ACGAACGAUUUAACAUGUGAACCUUUUGAGGAUUCCUUUAUUUGUAAAUGUAAAGAAAGUGGCUUUUAUUACGAUUACAAGGAAGAGAAAUGUUUGGAGAUGCUCGGUGAAUGUAAGGACGAUUCAACAUAUGAACCUUUUGAGGAUUCCUUUAUUUGUAAAUGUAAAGAAAGUGGCUUUUAUUACGAUUACAAGGAAGAGAAAUGUUUGGUUACGGAUAUCACAAACAGUUCUUGUCUU